UGGGGAAUAUUGCACAAUGGAGGGAACUCUGAUGCAGCGACGCCGCGUGAGUGAUGAAGGAAUUCGUUUCGUAAAACUCUGUUCUAUGGGAAGAAAAGGACUGUACCAUAGGAGAAAGCUCCGGCUAAAUACGUGCCAGCAGCCGCGGUAAUGCGUAUGGAGCGAGCGUUGUCCGGAAUUAUUGGGCGUAAAGGGUGCGCAGGCGGCUUUACAAGUUGGAUGUGAAAUAUUGUGGCUCAACCACAAACGUGCAUCCAAAACUGCAAAGCUUGAGUUAAGGAGAGGUAAGUGGAAUUCCUGGUGUAGCGGUGGAAUGCGUAGAUAUCAGGAGGAAUACCGGUGGCGAAGGCGACUUACUGGACUUAAACUGACGCUCAGGCACGAAAGCGUGGGGAGCAAACAGG
rnacentral:rRNA from 1 species